rnacentral:tRNA from 3 species
GCGAAAGUGGCGGAAUUGGUAGACGCACCAGAUUUAGGUUCUGGCGCCGCAAGGUGUGGGGGUUCGAGUCCCCCCUUUCGCA